rnacentral:rRNA from 1 species
GACGAACGCUGGCGGCGUGCUUAACACAUGCAAGUCGAACGGUGAAGCGCCUUCCUUUUUGGUGGGUGUGGAUGAGUGGCGAACGGGUGAGUAACACGUGAGUAACCUGCCCCCUUCUUCUGGAUAACCGCAUGAAAGUGUGGCUAAUACGGGAUAUUCUGGGUCUGUCGCAUGAUGGGUCUGGGAAAGAUAUUGUUUCGGUGGGGGAUGGGCUGGCGGCCUAUCAGCUUGUUGGUGGGGUGAUGGCCUACCAAGGCGGUGCCGGGUAGCCGGCCUGAGAGGGUAGACGGUCACACUGGGAGAGAGGCACGGCCCAGACUCCUACGGGAGGCAGCAGUGGGGAAUAGUGCGCAAUGGGCGCAAGCCUGAUGCGGCGACGCCGCGUGAGGGAUGGAGGCCUUCGGGUUGUGAACCUCUUUCGCCAGUGAAGCAGGCCUGCCUCGUUUGUGGGUGGGUUGACGGUAGCUGGAUAAGAAGCGCCGGCUAACUACGUG